AUGUCCGUGGGACUCAGAUCAUUGAAUAUCUGCACCUUUCUGAGGAAAGGAGGCCAUACAGAGAUUGAACCUCAUCACUGUUGUCAAGCUUUCCAUAAAGAGAAUGAUCAUCGUCAUCAUCCGAAAUGAAGAUACAUCAUCACAUUUGCAUCAGAUUCUUUCUUUGCUGAAGCUGAAGCAUCUGCCCAGUGUUGUCUUUGCUGGAGUAGACAGCCCUGGAGAUGUUCUCGAUCACACCUACCAAGAGCUGUUUCGUGCAGGAGGCUUUAUAUCAGAUGACAAGAUAUUAGAAGCCUUAACAUCAGUUCAACUGAAGGAAAUCAUCAAAAUCCUGGAAAAACUAAAUGGAAAUGGAAGAUGGAAGUGGUUGCUUCACUAUAGGGAAAGUAAAAAGCUAAAAGAUGAAAGAGUAGAUUCCACUGCACAUAAAAAGAACAUAAUAUUGAAGUCAUUUCAGAGUGCAAAUAUCAUUGAAUUGCUUCAUUAUCACCACUGUGACUCUCGACCAUCAACAAAAGCGGAAGUUCUGAAAUGUUUGCUAAACCUGCAAAUUCAGCAUAUCAAUGCCAGGUUUGCUGUCUUCCUAACAGACAAGCCUACUAUCCCCAGAGAAAUCUUUGAAAAUAGUGAAAUCCCUGUUACACAUGUAAAUAACUUUAUAGAAAAUAUACAAAAAGUAGCAGCGACAUUUAGGAGUAGCUAUUGGUGACCUAACUACAGCCUACCUGGAUAUGGAUGAUGUCAACAAAAAAUUACUAUUUUCCUUUUCCUUUGGAAAACUUGUGAAGACACAUGUGAACAGUCUUAUAUUUGGAAAAUCAGUGUUCUACAACUUGGAAAGCUUUCCUUUCUUUUUUUAUAUUUUGCUGAAAUACGUGACAUCACA